rnacentral:lncRNA from 1 species
UUUUGUGUGAGCCUUGCCUUGGGACCUUUGAGAUCUCUCUGAACUUGGUCACAUAAGAGCUGGCCCUUCUACACUGCACUCACUCUGCCUUGGCUAUGAAAUCUAGGUGUGAGCGUUGUUCGAGAUUCCUUGAAGUCCUUAGAGAACUCUGACACACCUAGAUAUGAAGGAAAUCUAUGAACAAUAUUGGCAUUUGAGGUGGUUUAUUACAUAUUUCACAUAGGAAGUCCAAAUCAAGCUUCAUGUAGUUGCAACUUCUUAUUUUUAAUUUAUGCUCAUGUAAUUCAAUCACAUGGUAUGUAAUAAUUUAUAAACAAGUAUUGGGGUGGCUAGUGAAAAGGGAUAGGGUAAACAUGCAUGCUAUAAUUUGUUAAAGGUAGAAAACGUGUUAGUAGGGUUAUAUUCCGUGCUCUUAGGUAUCGUGUUUAUUGUUUCAUAUUUGAUUCAGAUCUAUCAGGAGGAGUCCCCUCUUGAGAUUGUCGACGAGAGUUUUGUGGUGAGGGGGAUGGAGUUCCAUCACCUUGUUGAUUUUGCUGAUUCAACAGAUGUUGUUGACUUUCUUGGUUUUAUUGGUUGUUGUCGUUGACAUUCGACAUAAUUUUUGGC